rnacentral:rRNA from 1 species
CCUACGGGAGGCAGCAGUGGGGAAUAUUGGGCAAUGGAGGAAACUCUGACCCAGCGACGCCGCGUGCGGGAUGAAGGCCUUCGGGUUGUAAACCGCUUUCAGUAGGGAAGAAGCGAAAGUGACGGUACCUACAAAAGAAGCACCGGCUAACUACGUGCCAGCAGCCGCGGUAAUACAUAGGGUGCAAGCGUUGUCCGGAAUUAUUGGGCGUAAAGAGCUCGUAGGUCGUUUGUUACGUCGGAUGUGAAAACCUGGGGCUCAACCUCAGGCCUGCAUUCGAUACGGGCAAACUAGAGUUUGGUAGGGGAGACUGGAAUUCCUGGUGUAGCGGUGGAAUGCGCAGAUAUCAGGAGGAACACCAAUGGCGAAGGCAGGUCUCUGGGCCAAUACUGACACUGAGGAGCGAAAGUCUGGGGAGCGAACAGGAUUAGAUACCCUGGUAGUCCAGACCGUAAACGGUGGGCACUAGUUGUGGGAACCUUCCACGGUUUCUGCGACGCAGCUACGCAUAGUCGCCCGCCCGUCGGGUAGGUACGAGUCGCGAGAAGUAAACGUAACGAAAGGAAAGUUAGACGGUCGUGAGACGUUGUCCGACGGACGACGACGAGGGAGGAGG